rnacentral:misc_RNA from 1 species
GAUGAAGAACGCAGCGAAAUGCGAUAAGUAGUGUGAAUUGCAGAAUUCAGUGAAUCAUCGAAUCUUUGAACGCACAUUGCGCCCCUUGGUAUUCCAUGGGGCAUGCCUGUUCGAGCGUCAUUUGUACCUUCAAGCUUUGCUUGGUGUUGGGUGUUUGUCCAUUCUCUUGCAGAGGGACUCGCCUUAAAGUAAUUGGCAGCCAGUGUUUUGGUUUUGAAGCGCAGCACAAGUCGCGAUUCAACGCUAUACGCCAGCUUCCACAAGCCUUUUUCACUUUUGACCUCGGAUCAGGUAGGAAUACCCGCUGAACUUAAGCAUAUCAAUAAGCGGAGGA